GACGAACGCUGGCGGCGCGCCUAACACAUGCAAGUCGAACGAGCGAGAGAGAGCUUGCUUUCUCAAGCGAGUGGCGAACGGGUGAGUAACGCGUGAGGAACCUGCCUCAAAGAGGGGGACAACAGUUGGAAACGACUGCUAAUACCGCAUAAGCCCACGACCCGGCAUCGGGUAGAGGGAAAAGGAGCAAUCCGCUUUGAGAUGGCCUCGCGUCCGAUUAGCUAGUUGGUGAGGUAAUGGCCCACCAAGGCGACGAUCGGUAGCCGGACUGAGAGGUUGAACGGCCACAUUGGGACUGAGACACGGCCCAGACUCCUACGGGAGGCAGCAGUGGGGAAUAUUGCACAAUGGGGGAAACCCUGAUGCAGCGACGCCGCGUGGAGGAAGAAGGUCUUCGGAUUGUAAACUCCUGUUGUUGAGGAAGAUAAUGACGGU
rnacentral:rRNA from 1 species